AAGUCGAACGCUGAAGCUCCAGCUUGCUGGGGUGGAUGAGUGGCGAACGGGCGAUUAAUACGUGAGUAACCUGCCCUUGACUCUGGGAUAAGCCUGGGAAACCGGGUCUAAUACUGGAUACGACUCCUCAUCGCAUGGUGGGGUGUGGAAAGGGUUUUACUGGUUUUGGAUGGGCUCACGGCCUAUCAGCUUGUUGGUGGGGUAAUGGCCUACCAAGGCGACGACGGGUAGCCGGCCUGAGAGGGUGACCGGCCACACUGGGACUGAGACACGGCCCAGACUCCUACGGGAGGCAGCAGUGGGGAAUAUUGCACAAUGGGCGCAAGCCUGAUGCAGCGACGCCGCGUGAGGGAUGACGGCCUUCGGGUUGUAAACCUCUUUCAGCAGGGAAGAAGCCACAAGUGACGGUACCUGCAGAAGAAGCGCCGGCUAACUACGUGCCAGCAGCCGCGGUAAUACGUAGGGCGCAAGCGUUGUCCGGAAUUAUUGGGCGUAAAGAGCUCGUAGGCGGUUUGUCGCGUCUGCUGUGAAAGCCCGGGGCUCAACCCCGGGUCUGCAGUGGGUACGGGCAGACUAGAGUGCAGUAGGGGAGACUGGAAUUCCUGGUGUAGCGGUGAAAUGCGCAGAUAUCAGGAGGAACACCGAUGGCGAAGGCAGGUCUCUGGGCUGUUACUGACGCUGAGGAGCGAAAGCAUGGGGAGCGAACAGGAUUAGAUACCCUGGUAGUCCAUGCCGUAAACGUUGGGCACUAGGUGUGGGGGACAUUCCACGUUCUCCGCGCCGUAGCUAACGCAUUAAGUGCCCCGCCUGGGGAGUACGGCCGCAAGGCUAAAACUCAAAGGAAUUGACGGGGGCCCGCACAAGCGGCGGAGCAUGCGGAUUAAUUCGAUGCAACGCGAAGAACCUUACCAAGGCAUGACAUCCACCGGACCGCACUGGAGACAGUGCUUCCCUUCGGGGCUGGUGGACAGGUGGUGCAUGGUUGUCGUCAGCUCGUGUCGUGAGAUGUUGGGUUAAGUCCCGCAACGAGCGCAACCCUCGUUCUAUGUUGCCAGCACGUGAUGGUGGGGACUCAUAGGAGACUGCCGGGGUCAACUCGGAGGAAGGUGGGGAUGACGUCAAAUCAUCAUGCCCCUUAUGUCUUGGGCUUCACGCAUGCUACAAUGGCCGGUACAAAGGGUUGCGAUACUGUGAGGUGGAGCUAAUCCCAAAAAGCCGGUCUCAGUUCGGAUUGAGGUCUGCAACUCGACCUCAUGAAGUCGGAGUCGCUAGUAAUCGCAGAUCAGCAACGCUGCGGUGAAUACGUUCCCGGGCCUUGUACACACCGCCCGUUA
rnacentral:rRNA from 1 species